rnacentral:rRNA from 1 species
UACAGAGGUGGCAAGCGUUGUUCGGAAUUACUGGGCGUAAAGCGCGUGUAGGCGGCUCUUCAAGUCAGGCGUGAAAGCCCCGGGCUCAACUCGGGAACUGCGCUUGAUACUGUCGAGCUAGAGUGUGGAAGGGGCGAUUGGAAUUCCGUGUGUAGCGGUGAAAUGCGUAGAUAUACGGAGGAACACCAGAGGCGAAGGCGGAUCGCUGGGCCAACACUGACGCUGAGACGCGAAAGCUAGGGUAGCAAGCGGG